rnacentral:rRNA from 1 species
GCAGUCGAGCGAACAGAUAAGGAGCUUGCUCCUUUGACGUUAGCGGCGGACGGGUGAGUAACACGUGGAUAACCUACCUAUAAGACUGGGAUAACUUCGGGAAACCGGAGCUAAUACCGGAUAACAUAUUGAACCGCAUGGUUCAAUAGUGAAAGGCGGCUUUGCUGUCACUUAUAGAUGGAUCCGCGCCGUAUUAGCUAGUUGGUAAGGUAACGGCUUACCAAGGCAACGAUACGUAGCCGACCUGAGAGGGUGAUCGGCCACACUGGAACUGAGACACGGUCCAGACUCCUACGGGAGGCAGCAGUAGGGAAUCUUCCGCAAUGGGCGAAAGCCUGACGGAGCAACGCCGCGUGAGUGAUGAAGGUCUUCGGAUCGUAAAACUCUGUUAUCAGGGAAGAACAAAUGUGUAAGUAACUGUGCACAUCUUGACGGUACCUGAUCAGAAAGCCACGGCUAACUACGUGCCAGCAGCCGCGGUAAUACGUAGGUGGCAAGCGUUAUCCGGAAUUAUUGGGCGUAAAGCGCGCGUAGGCGGUUUUUUAAGUCUGAUGUGAAAGCCCACGGCUCAACCGUGGAGGGUCAUUGGAAACUGGAAAACUUGAGUGCAGAAGAGGAAAGUGGAAUUCCAUGUGUAGCGGUGAAAUGCGCAGAGAUAUGGAGGAACACCAGUGGCGAAGGCGACUUUCUGGUCUGUAACUGACGCUGAUGUGCGAAAGCGUGGGGAUCAAACAGGAUUAGAUACCCUGGUAGUCCACGCCGUAAAACGAUGAGUGCUAAGUGUUAGGGGGUUUCCGCCCCUUAGUGCUGCAGCUAACGCAUUAAGCACUCCGCCUGGGGAGUACGACCGCAAGGUUGAAACUCAAAGGAAUUGACGGGGACCCGCACAAGCGGUGGAGCAUGUGGUUUAAUUCGAAGCAACGCGAAGAACCUUACCAAAUCUUGACAUCCUUUGACCGCUCUAGAGAUAGAGUUUUCCCCUUCGGGGGACAAAGUGACAGGUGGUGCAUGGUUGUCGUCAGCUCGUGUCGUGAGAUGUUGGGUUAAGUCCCGCAACGAGCGCAACCCUUAAGCUUAGUUGCCAUCAUUAAGUUGGGCACUCUAAGUUGACUGCCGGUGACAAACCGGAGGAAGGUGGGGAUGACGUCAAAUCAUCAUGCCCCUUAUGAUUUGGGCUACACACGUGCUACAAUGGACAAUACAAAGGGCAGCUAAACCGCGAGGUCAAGCAAAUCCCAUAAAGUUGUUCUCAGUUCGGAUUGUAGUCUGCAACUCGACUACAUGAAGCUGGAAUCGCUAGUAAUCGUAGAUCAGCAUGCUACGGUGAAUACGUUCCCGGGUCUUGUACACACCGCCCGUCACACCACGAGAGUUUGUAACACCCGAAGCCGGUGGAGUAACCAUUUAUGGAGC